rnacentral:rRNA from 1 species
GAUGAACGCUGGCGGCGUGCCUAAUACAUGCAAGUCGAGCGAACAGACGAGGAGCUUACUCCUCUGACGUUAGCGGCGGACGGGUGAGUAACACGUGGAUAACCUACCUAUAAGACUGGGAUAACUUCGGGAAACCGGAGCUAAUACCGGAUAACAUGUUGAACCGCAUGGUUCAACAGUGAAAGACGGUCUUGCUGUCACUUAUAGAUGGAUCCGCGUCGCAUUAGCUAGUUGGUAAGGUAACGGCUUACCAAGGCAACGAUGCGUAGCCGACCUGAGGGGGUGAUCGGCCACACUGGAACUGAGACACGGUCCAGACUCCUACGGGAGGCAGCAGUAGGGAAUCUUCCGCAAUGGGCGAAAGCCUGACGGAGCAACGCCGCGUGAGUGAAGAAGGUCUUCGGAUCGUAAAACUCUGUUAUUAGGGAAGAACAAAUGUGUAAGUAACUAUGCACGUCUUGACGGUACCUAAUCAGAAAGCCACGGCUAACUACGUG